CAGAGCAAGUAAAGCAAUAAAUCUGCAUCAAAUUUUUCAUUAAACUUGACCAUUCCUCCAUGGAAACUAUUUCAAUGAUUCAGAAGGCCACAGCUAAGGGCAACUGGUGACUGGCAGCUUUGUCAUGACAGUGUGCCUGCUUGUGCAUCACAUCUCAUGCAGAGUUUUUUGGGAGAAACAUCAA